CCUACGGGAGGCAGCAGUAGGGAAUCUUGCGCAAUGGAGGAAACCCUGAAGCAGCAACGCCGCGUGGAGGAUGAAGGUUUUCGGAUUGUAAACUCCUUUUGUUAGAGAAGAUAAUGACGGUAUCUAACGAAUAAGCACCGGCUAACUCCCUGCCCGCAGCCGCGGUAAUACGGGAGGUGCAAGCGGUACUCCGAAUCGCUGGUCGGAAAAAGCGCGUCGGCGGGUUAGCAAUUCAGCUGUGAAAACCUAUGGCUUAACCAUAGAACUGCAUUUGAAACUGUGAGUCUAGAGGAUGGGAGAGGUAGGUGGAAUUCUUGGUGUAGGGGUAAAAUGCGUAGAGAUCAAGAGGAAUACUCAUUGCGAAGGCGACCUGCUAGAACAUAACUGACGCUGAUGCGCGAAAGCGUGGGGAGCAAACAGGAUUAGAUACCCUUGUAGUC
rnacentral:rRNA from 1 species